UAUAUUGGGAGAUGCAAAUCCUGUCACCAUCACACAACGCAUUCUAACUAACCAGCCUAGCUAACGACACUUUUCUACACCACAUAAUUAGGGAAAAAUAUAUAGGCUUGUGAAAGGUGCUCAAGUUUUCUCAUGACCACACGAACACCAUCACACAGGUUUAUGCGCCUCGUGUUCUUGUCUUCAAACCUAGCUCAUAAUUAAAAUGGAGGAAAACCAAUUAAGAGAAAGCUGUAUUUGACGGUGUAAGAUCUAUUGCAUGUACGGAAGGUGUUGCUUGUUGAUACUACGAUGUGAUUUGCUUACAAGUGGACAAAACGCAGUGCAAGGUGGGAAUGCAGCUCAUGCGACCUCAAUCAGUACCCAGAUAACCGAUUUAGCCUCUCAGAGUGGGCACAGCAAUGCAUCCUAAUUAAAACAAUGAACAAACUACCGAACAUUGCGGCCAAGAAGAGUAACAAUUGGGGCAACAAAGCGGACCAAAACCUCGAGACGGGAAGCGAAGCAGGCUGUACUAUUGAUAAAAGAAAAAGCUUUACCCUUUUGUAGAGUCUUGUAGAAUGUUAGCAGCUCUUGAAAAUAGCGAUGAUUAAAUGAUAAACGUUAUAAAACAUAAUAUUCACAUGAAAGAAGGUUUAAAAUUAGUGCAGAAGGUCUUGUAGGAAAAAUAAGUAUGACCGGACCACCUUCCCCCAGUCCCACGUUGGUUGCCUUUCUGUCGGUCGCUCAGCCGUAGUCGAGGAAGGAAGGCGCCUGCACCACGCCAGAUUUAUCCCGUUUUUACGCUCCCUUUCUUAUGUAUGCUGGGGAACUUCCUUCACUACCAGAGAACCUUACCUGCACUACAAUGGUAUUUUCCUUUAAGGCAGUCAUUACCUGUCUCUUCUCCAAGGCCGAGUGAUGAUUUUACGGUGCCUCUUCCCAAACCAAGAUAAGUGAACCAAAAUCACUCAAAUCGCCUCCAUACUUUUAUCACUUUGUUUUGUUACUACAGAUCAAGUAGCAAAAGGAAAACAAAAUCUUAGCAUCAUCCAGUAUUUCUUUUUAUAUGGCUAAAAAAACAAUUUGCAUGAACUAAAAUCACUCAAAUCGCCUCCAUACAAGUAGCAAAAGGAAAACAAAAUCUUAGCAUCAUCCAGUAUUUCUUUUUAUAUGGCUAAAAACAAUUUGCAUGAACUAAAAUCACUCAAAUCGCCUCCAUACUUUUAUCACUUUGUUUUGUUACUACAGAUCAAGUAGCAAAAGGAAAACAAAAUCUUAGCAUCAUCCAGUAUUUCUUUUUAUAUGGCUAAAAAAACAAUUUGCAUGAACUAAGUCCACUUUUGUGUAUUUAAUGCAAGCGUUUGUUCUCAGGUUGGUUGUCAAAGGUGGUCUUGGAGACUCAUGCCUGACUUGGCAGUGAUAGAAAACACCAUGACAGAAGCUGUUGCUGUACAAGAGUCACCAUUAUCGUCUGUUAUUGGGCCAGUUCCUGCCUGCUGAGGAUACUGAAGAUGGCAGUGAUAGAAAACACCAUGACAGAAGCUGUUGCUGUACAAGAGUCACCAUUAUCGUCUGUUAUUGGGCCAGUUCCUGCCUGCUGAGGAUACUGAAGAAGAAAUUGUUAGGAUUCAACAGCUUCCUCUCACAACCUAUUGAUUGGACCAGCAUCCUU
rnacentral:lncRNA from 1 species